AGUGAACGCUGGCGGUAGGCCUAACACAUGCAAGUCGAACGGCAGCAUAGUAAGAGCUUGCUCUUACGGGUGGCGAGUGGCGGACGGGUGAGGAAUACAUCGGAAUCUACUUUUUCGUGGGGGAUAACGUAGGGAAACUUACGCUAAUACCGCAUACGACCUACGGGUGAAAGCAGGGGAUCUUCGGACCUUGCGCGAUUGAAUGAGCCGAUGUCGGAUUAGCUAGUUGGCGGGGUAAAGGCCCACCAAGGCGACGAUCCGUAGCUGGUCUGAGAGGAUGAUCAGCCACACUGGAACUGAGACACGGUCCAGACUCCUACGGGAGGCAGCAGUGGGGAAUAUUGGACAAUGGGCGCAAGCCUGAUCCAGCCGUACCGCGUGGGUGAAGAAGGCCUUCGGGUUGUAAAGCCCUUUUGUUGGGAAAGAAAAGCAGCAGGUUAAUACCCCGCUGUUCUGACGGUACCCAAAGAAUAAGCACCGGCUAACUUCGUG
rnacentral:rRNA from 1 species